AAAUUCGUUCAGCUUUCGGUAGGAGAGUUAAGACCAAUACUGGAUACAUUGUUUCUUCAUAUUGAUGCUAAUAAUACACUGGCUUCGUUUGUUUAUAAUUAU